UACAGAGGGGGCCAGCGUUAUUCGGAAUUAUUGGGCGUAAAGAGCUCGUAGGCGGCCUGUCGCGUCCGCUGUGAAAUCCCGGGGCUUAACCCCGGGCGUGCAGUGGAUACGGGCUGGCUAGAGGCAGGCAGGGAGAACGGAAUUCCCGGUGUAGCGGUGAAAUGCGUAGAUAUCAAGUGGAACACCAGUGGCGAAGGCGAGUCCCCUGGACGAUACCUGACACUGAGGCACGAAAAGCUAGGGGAGCAAACAGG
rnacentral:rRNA from 1 species